UACGGAGGUUCCAAGCGUUGUUCGGAAUUACUGGGCGUAAAGGGAGCGCAGGCGGAUAGGUCAGUUUGAAGUGGAAUCCCGGGGCUCAACCUCGGAAUUGCUUUGAAUACUGCCUGUCUUGAGUUCGUGAGAGGAAAGUGGAAUUCAGGGUGUAGCGGUGAAAUGCUUAGAUAUCCUGAGGAACACCAGUGGCGAAAGCGACUUUCUGGCACGUAACUGACGCUGAGGCUCGAAAGCGUGGGUAGCGAAC
rnacentral:rRNA from 1 species